rnacentral:rRNA from 1 species
CAAUAGCGUAUAUUAAAGUUGUUGCGGUUAAAGAGCUCGUAGUUGGAUUUCUGCUGAGGACGAUCGGUCCGCCCACUGGGUGAGUAUCUGGCUCGGCCUUGGCAUCUUCUUGGAGAACGUUGCUGCACUUGACUGUGUGGUGCGGUAUCCAGGACUUUUACUUUGAGGAAAUUAGAGUGUUUCAAGCAGGCGCACGCCUCGAAUACAUUAGCAUGGAAUAAUAAGAUAGGACCUUGGUUCUAUUUUGUUGGUUUCUAGAGCUGAGGUAAUGAUUAAUAGGGAUAGUUGGGGGCAUUCGUAUUUAACUGUCAGAGGUGAAAUUCUUGGAUUUGUUAAAGACACACUAAUGCGAAAGCAUUUGCCAAGGAUGUUUUCUUUGA